rnacentral:Y_RNA from 1 species
GGCUGAUCCGAGUGCAGUGGUGUUUACAACUAAUUGAUCACAACCAGUUACUGAUCCCUUUGUUCCUUCUUCACUCCCACUGCUUCACUUGACUAGCCUAUA